rnacentral:piRNA from 1 species
UCAGAAGGUCUUCUGCUGGC